AAAAAAAAUUUCAUUUUGUUUCUUUUUUCUUGUUCCACUAUUGCAGCAUCGUCUACAACAUAUCCCAUUAAUAAUUUUAAAUCAAACGCAAUAGGAGAGAUACACGUCUCCGAUUAAUAUGCAUUCGUUUCUUGGAUUGGCUUUCUCUCCGUAAUCAGCUCAAAUUCAUUGGAGAGCCGGUGAAUUUUGUCGCCGUCUCUUUCUUACACGACCUCCGUGUAAACAACAAUUCUCCCCGCUCACUCUUCAAUUCAAUUUUAUCGGAGCUCAAGAUUGGAGCCCUUGGGUUCCAUAGAUACUAUCUUCUUAUGGUAUACAUUUCUUCUAUGAGAGCUUGUUUAAUGGAAACCAUCAACAUGAUUAAAAGAUUUGAAGUUUCUGGAAAAAAUAAAGAGAAGAAGUAAAACGAUGAAGAAGAAGAAGCAAGGAGAAGAAGUCAAACAUAAGGGCAAAACAGUCAAUUUGCGUAUAUAAAAGUUCCUUUUUUACAAACAACGUGAAAGUAUCCAUUUUCAAAUAUUUUUCAGAAAAAGUACCUAUAUCAACAAUAACCCACUAUUUAGUUAGUUUGAUAUAAAUAUUUUUUU
rnacentral:sRNA from 1 species